AUACGGAGGGGGCUAGCGUUGUUCGGAAUUACUGGGCGUAAAGCGUACGUAGGCGGACUGAUCAGUUGGGGGUGAAAUCCCAGGGCUUAACCCUGGAACUGCCUUCAAUACUGUCAGUCUUGAGUAUGGGAGAGGUGAGUGGAAUUCCUAGUGUAGAGGUGAAAUUCAUAGAUAUUAGGAGGAACACCAGUGGCGAAGGCGGCUCACUGGCCCAUUACUGACGCUGAGGUACGAAAGCGUGGGGAGCAAACAGGAUUAGAAACCCUAGUAGUCC
rnacentral:rRNA from 1 species